CCUACGGGAGACUGCAGUGGGGAAUAUUGCACAAUGGGGGAAACCCUGAUGCAGCGACGCCGCGUGAGUGAAGAAGUCUCUCGGUAUGUAAAGCUCUAUCAGCAGGGAAGAAAAUGACGGUACCUGUCUCAUCAGCCCCGGCUAACUACGUCCCAGCAGCCGCGGUAAUACGUAGGGGGCAAGCGUUAACCGGUUUUACUGGGUGUAAAGGGAGCGUAGACGGCGCUGCAAGUCCGGAGUGAAAGUCCAUGGCUUAACCAUGGUACUGCACUGGAAACUGUGGGGCUUGAGUGCGGGAGGGGGAGGCAGAAUUCCAGGUGUAGCGGUGAAAUGCGUAGAGAUUAGGAGGAACACCGGCGGCGAAGGCGGCCUGCUGGACCGUAACUGACGUUGAGGCUCGAAAGCGUGGGGAGCAAACAGGAUUAGAUACCCGUGUAGUC
rnacentral:rRNA from 1 species